rnacentral:lncRNA from 1 species
AGAGCUCCACGUUUUUGGAUGAGCCAACCUGGUAUGAUAGUUUUAUGUAAAAAGUCCAAACCUUCUGCGCGAACCCAAAAGGAAAAAAAAGGGGGCUGCUUUCGUCUCCACCCACCCAUUGGUUACUGUGACUACUGAGUCGUUGCAGGAUAUGCAUAAUUUCAGAUGGCGAUUCGAUCUCAUACUUUAAUCAUGAUUUAAUUUAAUAUACACUAGUGUUAUUGUUUCCAUGCAUUAUCUCAGUCUCUACUAAUUGCAGGCUUGCAGCUACUCUGUUGUGGCCGAUUUGGGUCCCCAAGCAGCAAUGCAGCAGCACGAUAGACUUGUCUACUUGUCGUUCCAUCUUCAUCAGCUGUUCUGUUGACCAAGAUGUGGCGCUCACGUCUGCACGAACCGGAUCCAAUUCUUUUGCCCUCGGUCUCCCUCCUGCUUUAGUUGACCUCAGAUGUCGGCUGCCACUUUGCAGUGUACUGUAACCUGUAUAUCUACCUAUUGUAUUUCAAAAAGGAAUACCGCAGAUCGAAGCCAUGUAUUUCAAAAGUUUCUUUUGUGGCAUGUAUUUCA